rnacentral:lncRNA from 1 species
GGAAAAAAAAACUGGGGAGAACUAGGCGGCUUUCUGAUCAGAGUUCAGAUAAAAAGGGUCACAGUAAUUUGUGGGCACUGACUAAAAUAACCCAAUGGAUUUGAGAGUUACCGCAAAAGAAGCAAACAGACAAACUAAAGAGGUAUAACUCCUACUUGAAGAGUGUGAGAGAAUAUUUACUACUCGGAUGUUUGAGACAUACCAAAAAAUGCUUUUUGAUCCUUUAUCAAGAAGACGUAAUGACCAAGAUUGAUAAAGAAAAAUGCAAUGGUUACUUUACCUGCAACCAUCUCAAAGACGCUCUAAUGUCAUUUCAGAGGACUUCAGCCAUGAACUUGGUGAUGAGCCAGAGAAGGUAACUUUUCAUCCCCUACAAGACCUAUUCCAUGUUGCAGCUAACCUUAAAGAAAUCAUCACUUGGAACUGAUUCAGAAUCCCAUAUCACAUUUUGUUAUUACUUUUGCCUGGUCUCCUGCUGUCUGGAACAGUUUUUCAGUCUUCCUUCAUUUUCAAGAGUGUGAAAGGAUCCCAAGACCAAAAGUCUGGGAACUGCUGGUUUAGAGUCACAAUACUGACUGCUCAAAAUGACUUUUUAAAGAAGAAAGCCUUAAAAACCCUUGAGUGAAUGGUUGGUAUUUACAGACAAGCAAAUGUAUGGAAGAGAAACGAGAGACCCAGCCUGAAUCUGUUGAAUGAACGAAAGGGGAAAUGCCCUAAGGAGUCAGAUGGAAGAAGUUUUUCUGGGAAGAGCAGAACACAGGAGUUGGGGUGCAGACCUCCUGGAUCACCAGCAGAAGGAAAAGAGCAGUGAGACGUUAAAGUGAUUGAGACAAAAAUGGAAGUAAAACAGCUUAAGGCUUUCUGAGAUCGAGUUCCUGGCAGUGUCAUCAGCAGAUGGUUUCUUCUGAAGUUCAGGGGAAGAGAAGAUGCUCGAAGAACUCUCCAGGGACUGAGUGGGUGGUACAGAGCUAGUGCUGUAGAUGCCAUGUAUACAGGCAAAUUCCCCAAUGAGUGUUUUCCAAUAUCAAGUUUAACUGGCAUUUAAGAUAUAUGCCAAAGGUAGGUAAAUUAUUUUGGCCUGUGCUUAUAGGUUUAUUUCCCUGGAUGAAGCUUUCUGUCUCUGUCCUAGUGCACUGUAGCAGAUGCAGGGUCUUUCCAUACAAUACAUUAAAAGCUGCAUCUCAUUUUAAAUAUAUUAUAGAAACCCUGAUCAUACAAUACAUACAAGAUUUUUAAGAUCAGCCUUCAGUCGAUUUUUUUGCUUUAUUUUUGUUCUGGAGGUCAAAAUGAGUGGUUAACUGUCUAAGUUGAUUGCAGAGAAAGUUACUACUCAUUCUAAACGUAGGUUUUUAGAAAAGUGUUCUUGGCAGUUGCUACCAUUGGCUUUUUCCAACUUACAUGGGAAUCAAGAUUCAGAACUGGUACACCAAUGGGAAGAGCCUGGAAAAUAGACUAUUGAUCAAGAUGAAUCUGGUCCAGAUACUUUAAGACCUUUUCAGUGUGUUUUUAAGAUUAUAAGUUUGAACUAACAGAAACUUCAAUGCUGUUUUUUCACAAGUCAAUGUGUAGUGUACUGUUAUUCUUUUUUUUCCUGUAAUAUCUUAAUAAUAUUCCUGGCUGUAAGAAAAAGUUAACACUAUACCUAUGUUUUGACUUACUUUAUAGAAGACCCAAACAAUAUUUAACAAAAGGAUUUU